rnacentral:misc_RNA from 1 species
UGUGGGAGCGGGCUUGCUCGCGAAAGCGGUGGGUCAGUUACGAAUUUACUGACUGACACACCGCUUUCGCGAGCAAGCCCGCUCCCACA